AUGGGCAUUUCAAACCAGUGGACAUGUUGUUUUGUGUUGCUUUAUCAUGUGUUUGUUGUCUAUGGACAGAUUCCGAGCUCUUACUACAACGACGAGAACAGUCCGUUGUUAAAUAGGGGCAAAUAUCCGCCGGCAGGAUUUGGUAUUGAAUUUGUUGUUUUAGCGUCGUUGGGGUUUCUCGUUUUGUUUGGCAUGCAAAACGAUGACAAGGAAGAAGAAAUAAUACCAUAACAUGCAGAAGACAGUAACAAUCAAUUGUGAAUGGCUGUUAGGAAUGACGAUGUUGAUUAUAAAGUUUGGUGGAUUG